rnacentral:rRNA from 1 species
CCUACGGGGUGCAGCAGUGGGGAAUAUUAGACAAUGGGCGAAAGCCUGAUCCAGCCAUGCCGCGUGUGUGAAGAAGGCCUUCGGGUUGUAAAGCACUUUCAGUGGGGAAGAAAGCCUUGGGGCUAAUACCCUCGAGGAAGGACAUCACCCACAGAAGAAGCACCGGCUAACUCCGUGCCAGCAGCCGCGGUAAUACGGAGGGUGCGAGCGUUAAUCGGAAUUACUGGGCGUAAAGCGCGCGUAGGCGGUCUGAUAAGCCGGUUGUGAAAGCCCCGGGCUCAACCUGGGAACGGCAUCCGGAACUGUCAGGCUAGAGUGCAGGAGAGGAAGGUAGAAUUCCCGGUGUAGCGGUGAAAUGCGUAGAGAUCGGGAGGAAUACCAGUGGCGAAGGCGGCCUUCUGGACUGACACUGACGCUGAGGUGCGAAAGCGUGGGUAGCAAACAGGAUUAGAUACCCCAGUAGU